rnacentral:tRNA from 1 species
AGUAGGAUGGCCGAGAAUAGGCGAUAAAUUGUAAAUUUAUUCACGAAUGAGUAUUCUCCUGCUA